GGCCAGAUAAAUAGCUCAGUUGGUAGAGCUUCUGAUUAGAGUUCAGGGGUUCCAGGUUCAAAUCCUGGUCUGGUCC